CCUACGGGGGGCAGCAGUGAGGAAUAUUGGUCAAUGGGCGAGAGCCUGAACCAGCCAAGUCGCGUGAGGGAGUACUGCCCUAUGGGUUGUAAACCUCUUUUGUCGGGGAGCAAAAGCCGGACGUGUCCGGCUGUGAGGGUACCCGAAGAAAAAGCAUCGGCUAACUCCGUGCCAGCAGCCGCGGUAAUACGGAGGAUGCGAGCGUUGUCCGGAUUUAUUGGGUUUAAAGGGUGCGCAGGCGGAUUUUUAAGUCAGCGGUAAAAUCGUGGGGCUCAACCCCAUCCAGCCGUUGAAACUGGGGAUCUAGAGUGUGCGAGAGGUAUGCGGAAUGCGUGGUGUAGCGGUGAAAUGCAUAGAUAUCACGCAGAACCCCGAUUGCGAAGGCAGCAUACCGGUGCACAACUGACGCUCAGGCACGAAAGCGUGGGUAUCGAACAGGAUUAGAUACCCGAGUAGUC
rnacentral:rRNA from 1 species